GGAGGGCAAGUCUGGUGCCAGCAGCCGCGGUAAUUCCAGCUCCAAUAGCGUAUAUUAAAGUUGUUGCAGUUAAAAAGCUCGUAGUUGAAUUUCGGGAUCAAUUUAUUGGUCGUGCCAACGGUACGCACUGGUACAAUUGGUUUCUCCCUUCUGACGAAGCAUGAUGUCAUUAAUUUGAUGUCGUGGGGAAUCAGGACUGUUACUUUGAAAAAAUUUGAGUGUUUAAAGCAGGCUUUGGCUUGAAUACAUUAGCAUGGAAUAAUGAAAUAGGACGUUUGAUCUUAUUUCGUUGGUUUCUAAGAUCGACGUAAUGAUUAAUAGGGAUAGUUGGGGGCAUUAGUAUUCAAUUGUCAGAGGUGAAAUUCUUGGAUUUAUUGAAGACUAACUACUGCGAAAGCAUUUGCCAAGGAUGUUUUCAUUAAUCAAGAACGAAAGUUAGGGGAUCGAAGACGAUCAGAUACCGUCGUAGUCUUAACCAUAAACUAUGCCGACUAGGGAUCGGAUGAUGUUAAUUUUUUAAUGACUCAUUCGGCGCCUUACGGGAAAC
rnacentral:rRNA from 1 species